rnacentral:lncRNA from 1 species
AGCGGAUGAACCUCUUCAGCGCCAUCCGACACCCACUGCCGGUCGACCCUCUGUCGAAUUCUGCGUGAAAUCGAACUUCUUCUAUGAAAAGCCUCUGACCGAGCCCCUACAGCAAAUGGCCCUCGCCUACAGUAUUAGCGCCCAAAGCACCCAACGGUAGAAGGCUCGCCAGCAACAUCCGAGCUUCUCUCAGACGGAUAGCUUCCUAUCUCCGCCAGAUACCUCAACCGAGCUUCGACCGACAGGCCUGCUCCACUUCCUACGGCCACCGUAACGGCCACAACUCUGCUCCACUUCCUGCGGCCACAGUAAUGGCCACGACUCUGCUCUGCUUCCUGCGAUAGAUUCUGCGCGGUGCCACCACUCUCUGGCAAGUCGCGACAAUGGACACUGAUCCACUCCCCGCAAUAGGCUCCAUAUGGCAGGCCACGGUGAU